rnacentral:rRNA from 1 species
UACGGAGGAUGCGAGCGUUAUCCGGAUUUAUUGGGUUUAAAGGGUGCGUAGGCGGUCCGUUAAGUCAGCGGUAAAAUUGCGGGGCUCAACCCCGUCGAGCCGUUGAAACUGUCAGACUUGAGUCGGCGAGAAGUGCGCGGAAUGCGUGGUGUAGCGGUGAAAUGCAUAGAUAUCACGCAGAACUCCGAUUGCGAAGGCAGCGCACCGGCGCCCUACUGACGCUCAGGCACGAAAGCGUGGGUAUCGAACAGG